rnacentral:rRNA from 1 species
CGACGAUCAGUAGCGGGUCUGAGAGGAUGAUCCGCCACACUGGAACUGAGACACGGUCCAGACUCCUACGGGAGGCAGCAGUGGGGAAUUUUGGACAAUGGGGGCAACCCUGAUCCAGCCAUUCCGCGUGAGUGAAGAAGGCCUUCGGGUUGUAAAGCUCUUUCAGCUGGAACGAAACGGUACGCUCUAACAUAGCGUGCUAAUGACGGUACCAGCAGAAGAAGCACCGGCUAACUACGUGCCAGCAGCCGCGGUAAUACGUAGGGUGCGAGCGUUAAUCGGAAUUACUGGGCGUAAAGCGUGCGCAGGCGGAUUGUUAAGCAAGACGUGAAAUCCCCGGGCUUAACCUGGGAAUGGCGUUUUGAACUGGCAGUCUAGAGUGUGUCAGAGGGGGCUAGAAUUCCACGUGUAGCAGUGAAAUGCGUAGAGAUGUGGAGGAAUACCAAUGGCGAAGGCAGCCCCCUGGGAUAACACUGACGCUCAUGUACGAAAGCGUGGGUAGCAAACAGGAUUAGAUACCCUGGUAGUCCACGCCCUAAACGAUGUCAACUGGUUGUUGGGGGAGUGAAAUCCCUUAGUAACGAAGCUAACGCGUGAAGUUGACCGCCUGGGGAGUACGGUCGCAAGAUUAAAACUCAAAGGAAUUGACGG